GCCCGCCUAGCUCAAUCGGAUAGAGCGUCAGACUUUUAUCCGUCCACUAGGACAGGGCGAUCUGAAGGCUGCGGGUUCGACCCCCGCGGUGGGCU